rnacentral:rRNA from 1 species
AGCGAACGCUGGCGGCAUGCCUAACACAUGCAAGUCGAACGAACUCUUCGGAGUUAGUGGCGGACGGGUGAGUAACACGUGGGAACGUGCCCUUAGGUUCGGAAUAACUCAGGGAAACUGGUGCUAAUACCGAAUGUGCCCUCCGGGGGAAAGAUUUAUCGCCUUUGGAGCGGCCCGCGUCUGAUUAGGUAGUUGGUGGGGUAAAGGCUUACCAAGGCGACGAUCAGUAGCUGGUCUGAGAGGAUGAUCAGCCACAUUGGGACUGAGACACGGCCCAAACUCCUACGGGAGGCAGCAGUGGGGAAUAUUGCGCAAUGGGCGAAAGCCUGACGCAGCCAUGCCGCGUGAAUGAUGAAGGUCUUAGGAUUGUAAAGUUCUUUCACCGGGGACGAUAAUGACGGUACCCGGAGAAGAAGCCCCGGCUAACUUCGUG